CAGAACUGGGGGGGGGGAAUUAAAAACUUAAUUCAAACAGUAAAGUUCAAAAUAUGAAGUUCCAGCAAAGGGAAAGCCACGGACAAAGCUGCAGCCGCACUCCGAGCGGCUGGAAAUAGCGCCUACCACCGAGAGGCCAACUCUGCACUGGAGCACAGGAAGUGACACGGAGCUGUGAGGAGUGUCUGGAUUGAAACAACACGCUGCUGCAGGAUGAAGCCAGAAGCUGAUUAUUCCUCCUCCAUGCAGCAGAACCACAUCGUCACUCUGAUCAGCUCCGCCCUGAAAUCCGGUCCAUGAGAACCAGCAGAAGGAUCAGAAACCCGAACUGCAGCAGGAACGGGCCGAGCUGAUCACAGACUCCAGACCUCACCAUAAUCCUCCACACAACGCCUCCAGGAACUCUAAUCUCCUCAAGAUCCACAAAACAAUCUUCAGGAAUUCCCCAUCCACCAAUCAGCUGCUACUGAAGAUAAAAAUGCACCAAAAAUGGUUUUCCUGAAUGUUUCUGAAACAAAACUCAACACAAUGAAGUUUUCUUUUCUGGAUUUUCUGACAUGUUUGAGACUUGAUAAAACUCUCAAAAUGACCAAAUAUUCAGUUUCAGAUGAAGCUAAAUUUCACAGAAUUAGUUUUUUCAUCAAACGUUACACCGACCCCCUCCUGCUGCUGUAGGGAUUAUGUAAUCCUCAUGUUUCUGAUGUAAUCCCAUAAUAUGACCCACACAUGACCUGUAGUAAUCUGGCA